rnacentral:lncRNA from 1 species
AACAAUAGACAAGUACUCUUCGAUAUAUAAAGUUGUAGACUCAUAAAGUCGAGCUAAUAUGAUUGACACAAACUAUUAAAAUUUCACUCAAUUAAACACUUGACAUGACAUGAAAUAGAAAGAUAUUUUCACCCAUUAAACUUGAGCCAAUCAUGAAUCUCUAAGUAAAUCAUAUUGUGAUUUAUUCAAAAAUAGCCUUGCUUGACUAAAUCUUCAUUAAUCAUUGUACAAGCCCGUUUGACCCCCUAGCCCAAAACCUAUUUCCUAACCCUCAAGCCCAAUACCCAAACAAAAGCCCAAAAAACUCCCGGGCCCAAAUAACCUUAACCCUAGCCUAAAUUUACAAAUCAGAAACAAAAGGACAAAAAAAACCUAGCUGCUGCCUCCCCGUGCCAGGUCUGCCACCGUCUGUCACGUCCACCGCCUCACCGCCCAAGUUGCACCUGCAAGCAUUAAUAGGAGUGGACAGAAAGCAAGAAAAGAAAAAAUGUAAUAGAUAUAAAAGACCGAGCAGAAAACCAUUGUGGCUCUCGGCAUUUUUUAGAUACAAAUAAAGCAUUCAAUUUUUCUAGCAAGGAAAACAGCAAUAUCAUCCAUCAAAAGAAAAGAGAAACAGCAUAAAAAAAAAACUAAAAGCCCUCAGAAACAGAAGCCAUAGGCACAAGGUGAUUCGUUUGCUUUCCCCUUUUUAUUGUUUUUUUUCAUAGCCAAAUCUACCUAUUAAAUGCCCUUAUAUAAGUAUAAAUAUACAACAUAAACAAAGGAAACACACUUAAAAACAAGAAAAGGAAAUUUUUUUACCUUCGACCGUCGUGCACGGCGGUCGCAGGUGCCAGAGUCGCGGCGGAGGACGGUGGAAGAC